rnacentral:rRNA from 1 species
GACGAACGCUGGCGGCGUGCUUAACACAUGCAAGUCGAACGGAAAGGCCCUGCUUGCAGGGUACUCGAGUGGCGAACGGGUGAGUAACACGUGGGUGAUCUGCCCUGCACUUCGGGAUAAGCUUGGGAAACUGGGUCUAAUACCGGAUAGGACCGCACUUUAGUGUGUGUGGUGGAAAGUUUUUUCGGUGUAGGAUGAGCUCGCGGCCUAUCAGCUUGUUGGUGGGGUAAUGGCCUACCAAGGCGGCGACGGGUAGCCGGCCUGUGAGGGUGUACGGCCACAUUGGGACUGAGAUACGGCCCAGACUCCUACGGGAGGCAGCAGUGGGGAAUAUUGCACAAUGGGCGCAAGCCUGAUGCAGCGACGCCGCGUGGGGGAUGAAGGCCUUCGGGUUGUAAACUCCUUUCGCUAGGGACGAAGCUUUUUGUGACGGUACCUAGAUAAGAAGCACCGGCUAACUACGUG